rfam:Ictidomys tridecemlineatus contig062276, whole genome shotgun sequence.
AGGGAUGUUGUUUAGUGGUAAAAUGCUUGCCUAUUAAGUGCGCGGCCCUGGGUUCCAUCCCCAGUAUCUCAA